rnacentral:rRNA from 1 species
UACGUAGGGGGCGAGCGUUGUCCGGAUUUAUUGGGCGUAAAGAGCGUGUAGGCGGCCAGGUAGGUCUGCUGUGAAAACUCGAGGCUCAACCUCGAGACGUCGGCGGAAACCAUCUGGCUAGAGUCCGGAAGAGGAGAGUGGAAUUCCUGGUGUAGCGGUGAAAUGCGCAGAUAUCAGGAAGAACACCCGUGGCGAAGGCGGCUCUCUGGGACGGUACUGACGCUGAGACGCGAAAGCGUGGGGAGCGAACAGGAU